rnacentral:rRNA from 1 species
AGAGUUUGAUUAUGGCUCAGGAUGAACGCUGGCGGCGUGCUUAACACAUGCAAGUCGAACGGGGUUAUUACGGAAGCUUGCUUUGUUUAACCUAGUGGCGGACGGGUGAGUAACGCGUGAGAAACCUGCCCUUCAGUGGGGAAUAACACCGAGAAAUUGGUGCUAAUACCGCAUAAUGUCGGAUCAUCGCAUGUUGAACCGACCAAAGGAUUUAUUCGCUGAAGGAUGGUCUCGCGUCCGAUUAGGCAGUUGGUGAGGUAACGGCUCACCAAACCAACGAUCGGUAGCCGAACUGAGAGGUUGAUCGGCCACAUUGGGACUGAGACACGGCCCAGACUCCUACGGGAGGCAGCAGUGGGGAAUAUUGGGCAAUGGGCGCAAAGCCUGACCCAGCAACGCCGCGUGAAGGAUGACGGUCUUAGGAUUGUAAACUUCUUUAAUCGGGGAAGAAUAAAUGACCUACCCGAAGAAUAAGCCACGGCUAACUACGUGCCAGCCGCAGC